CACACACACACACACCAUCUUUCACCGGGUGGUGCAAGCGGAUUCCCACACGGACACAGCCCCCUUUCAGCCACGCAGAAGGAAUCUGUCGGGAGCGUGAAAGCGGCGGUGUGAGGUUUAACGUCGGAAGAAGAAGAUUACUCAGGGGGAAAGAAUUACACGAGGGCUCGCACAGUGUGCGUCAGUGUGUUGACAGUGGAAACAAGCCGGGGGAACAAACGCCAGAAGGGAUCCGAGGAUCUGAUUGCAUCGCCUGGAGCCUCCUACUCAUCUCGGGCCACAGCGAGUGGUUCCCGAGGCAGAGGAGGAGGAGGAGGACGGACGUACAAAGAGCUCGGAGUCUCGCCAAUGUGCAAGUGCGCCCGAGGUUUCUUUAAAUAUGCGUGCUGGAAUGUCACCACAGCGAGAGCGAUUUGGCUUUUAUGAGGAAGCGUGGUUUGAUUUCCUUCCAAAUGAAAGCUGGAAGGAGGGAUGAACUGAGGGUGGUCUUGUGCCGGAGAGAAAGUGAUGCAUUUUAACUGCGUUGAAUGUUUGUGAUAAACUGAGGGAUGAAGCGUGUUGUUAAGAUUAAUUCUACUACAUAAAUAAUAAGAUAAAUUAACUGCUCACGUCGUCUGAG
ensembl:lncRNA